GCCCCCUUAGCUCAGGGGAUAGAGCACCGGCCUCCGGAGCCGGGUGCGCAGGUUCGAAUCCUGCAGGGGGCACC
rnacentral:tRNA from 1 species